CCAGGUUAAGAACCCCUGAGAAACAGAGGGAGCCAUUGAAGGUUUUUGAGCAAAGUAGGAAUGUCAUGGAAAUUAGGUAUUUAGGCAGUGUUAGUGUAUUUAAGUAGCUAUUCCUUGACCUGGCUUCAGACCCCUCAGGCCCACUUGGAGCUUCUUGAUUCUCUUGGAUGUGGGAUAAAAGAAUGUCUGAGAUAGCCCUUUCUUGUUUUCCCAUCUCUUGUGACAAGGCCAUUUGGAGCCUUAUUCUCAUGGUUGUGGAUGAGGGACUUUCUACACUAAUCAGAGAACAUCCUAUAUGCUUAGCACCCUCUAUACCACAAAAUCCCUUUUUUCCUGCCACCUUCUUCGCUGGUUCAGCCAACUCCCAUCCCUUCAGAGUCUAGUAGUAGGAUUAUCCUCAGAGCAGUUGAGAUAUGUUGUUUUAGGAUUCGGUGAUAUUUAAAGGUAUUGUGCUCUGACUGCACCAGGAGGAAUUAGAAAUGGUGCACGCUGCACAGAGGAGUGUUAUUCUGGAGAUGCACCAAACCUAUCUCUCUGAGGAAGGACUCUUAAUGGCCUUCUUAUCUAUUCAUUAGGGAUUCUCAGUUUCUUUUUUUGUGGAGCCUCUGAAGUCAACAACUCAUUUUGUAUGUAUAAGUCAAGGGCUCAGAUCCCUAAGCACUCUGCGCAUAGAAGUAGAACAUUUCUGUUUUGGUUCUCAGGUGAUCAGUGUAAUCAUACUGUUACAUUGGAAAAACAAAGACUUUGGAGUCAAAGGACCUUGGUUCGAAAUGUGGCUUUGGCACUUACUGAUUGUGGGCAAGUCAUUUAACCUCACUUGACCUCGCUUUCUUCAUCUAUAAAAUGAAGGGGUUAGACUGGAUUAUCUUUAAGGUCUAUUUCAACUCUAGAAUCCUAUAUGUCUCUAUAUUGCCUAAUAAUUAUUUUCUAGUUCUAUUGUCUGUUUUGUCUCUCCAAAUGAACCGUCAGGAAGGAUAAUUUUAUCUCUGCUUGCCUGGAUUAUUAAAAUAGUUUACUAUCUCGUUUCCUUGCUUCUGACCUAUUUUAUAUUUAACUGCUCGAAUAGUUUUCAGCCAACACCAUUGUUAAAUUUCCUUCUACACCAAAUCCAAACUCUCCAGCCCAGCAGGCUCUUUACAUUUUCAUCUUUUCUUAUCUCAGUUACUCCCUGUUAUGAAUUCUGAUUGCAGUGACAGCUCCUUGAGUUAUUAUUUCCUGCCUUCAAAAUGCAGCUCAGCUUCACUCUUCCCAGAAAUGCUCUGCGAGUGUUCCCUGUGCUAAACAACACCCUGUGCUAUGAAGAUGCCCUUCUUCCCUUUUAUUUCUCUGUUUACAUCCUGUUGGUAGGUGGCGUUUAAGAGAAAUCAAAGCUACGUGUUCCUGGUACCUUUAACUCCAAAUUUAUGAGCCUGUUUAUUAAUCAACAGCAUCCUUUGCUCAGAAACCAGAUUGCGUCUGUAUUUUCUGUUUCUUAUUUCAGUAUGUAAGGCAAGAAGUGAUAUUCAGCAGAAGUGGAACUUCAUGAAGUGGUACCAGAAAGACUGUCCAAGGAACAUUCUCCCAGGAAAUCAAUUUUGGAGAACACCAUAAACAUAAAGGGAACUCUUAGAGAAGUGACAGAGAAACUUUACGCAUGAGAGAUUGGAGGUUAUAGACCAAGCAGGAGAUUUGUGGAGAUCUGGCAGGAGAUGAAAAGAGCAUGAUGUAGAGCUGAGGAAUAAUGCAAUAAGUAGUGGACCAGGAAAACAACCAGUAUCAGAGACACCUGGGCAGGACAUCCCCCUCUGCCAGGGGAGUGAGAGGGGUGCUCGACAUCAUUGGACCCCUGAGGAAAAUUAAGGGCAGAAGGGCAGAGAGAAUCUAACCAGCAGGGGGCCACAAACCUGAUUUUCUUCAAGAUCAGGUGCACUAUUCCAGAGGCAGCAACUUCCUCCUGCCAGGAUCAAGAGAUGAUUGAUUAGGAACAGAAUUUCUUAUCUCUUUUCCACUUCCCCCACCCCACCAUUGAGAGAAGUGGUAUUGCCAGAGAUCGGUGGUAAUGAAGGCUCAGAGCAGGAGUGGAACUGUCUGUGAAUAACCUGAAGAAGGAGAAGCUCCCCAUCUAAGACCAGCCAGUGAAGCUGGAGCUGGAGAAACUGAGCAGUGGAAGCAGCAGAGGAAAGUUGGUAAAGAAUCGCAGAGAAAAUCAGAGAGAAGCUACAGAGAGGUGCUAUCUCUUGGCAGAAUUCACUCCCCAAGUACCCAGACUGUGAGUUUGGAAAGAGUGAUCAAGCUCUUGGGUUGUGAAACUGGGGACAAAUGGUGCUGAACCUGAGAAUGGGAGAGAUACCCAUUAGAAAAGGUGACCUCUGAAGUUCCUUCCAACUCUGAGAUUCUGUGAUUGUGUUUGACCUCUCCUCACCUACCCCCAGCCGGAAAUAAAGAGAAAACAAGAAAGAAAAUCUCUGAUAAUAAAAACUGGAAGUUUGGAAAGCAUGUAUUUAUCUUUCUUUGUUCCUUUUAGAAUAUCUGUGACUUUCCCUCUCCUUUUCUUCACCCUAUCAUCCUGAAAUCUAGGGAGGAACAUCUAUAGUAACAUGACCGGAGUUUAAUCUGUCACUCAGUCUCCAUGUGUGUCUUUUCUCUUUCUCAGUAUCUUUCUCUGUCUCUUGCUGCAGAGAAAAGAGUGCAAGAGUGAUGCCCUGGUUCCCCAAAUGCCUACAGGUAUGUGGAGUCAGUUUGGCUGGUUAAUAAGGGGUCUUUAUUGCUGGUACAGUGUCUGCCCUUAUCUGCUUUUGGCUUCUGCAGAUAAGAGUUACCUGUCAACCUCCUCCCCUUCCCCAUCUAGCUAUAGCUUUAUAUUAGCUUCUCUCCCCCCCCCCAUCCCCAUCCAUUUGCUUCUGGCAGUCCUGCAGGCAGGUCCUGGUUGUAACUGCUGCUGCAACCUCUCUUCUGACUGAAGAUCUCAGGAACUUUCAGACCACAAUAUUCCCUCUUAACUACUGAUCCUGUUUCCCAGAAGAGGUAAGACCCCUGACCAACAGGCAUAGCCUGCCCAGUCUCAUGAAAACACCUUUCCAUUCUUUUCUCCCUUCUAAUCUCAACUGUAAAGGACAGUUCAUCUCAGUUGCAGUGAUGUUGGCUAGUGAAGUGGGAUGUUGGCUAGUGAAGUGGGACCACAUAAUCAUAGAUUUAGAUCUGGAAAGGACAUUAAAGGUACUUAGUCCAACAUAUUCAUUUUAUACAUGAGGAAACUGAAGCCUUGCAGUAAAAUGAAGUUAAGAAACGUGCCCAAGGUCAUACAGGUAGCAAAUGGCAAUUGAUAGGGCUUGAACCUCAGUCUUCCAAUUCUAAAUCCAUUGUUCUUUCCACAACAUCAUUUUGCUUCCCAGUAACCCCAGCAGCAGUCACUCAAACAGUCAACAAAUAUUUAUUAAGCACCUUCUACAGGUCCAGACACUGUGCUAAGCACUGAAAAUAUAGAAAAAUGGG